rnacentral:rRNA from 1 species
AUUGAACGCUGGCGGCAGGCCUAACACAUGCAAGUCGAGCGGAUGAAGGGAGCUUGCUCCUGGAUUCAGCGGCGGACGGGUGAGUAAUGCCUAGGAAUCUGCCUGGUAGUGGGGGAUAACGUCCGGAAACGGGCGCUAAUACCGCAUACGUCCUGAGGGAGAAAGUGGGGGAUCUUCGGACCUCACGCUAUCAGAUGAGCCUAGGUCGGAUUAGCUAGUUGGUGGGGUAAAGGCCUACCAAGGCGACGAUCCGUAACUGGUCUGAGAGGAUGAUCAGUCACACUGGAACUGAGACACGGUCCAGACUCCUACGGGAGGCCGCAGUGGGGAAUAUUGGACGAUGGGCGAAAGCCUGAUACAGCCAUGCCGCGUGUGUGAAGAAGGUCUUCGGAUUGUAAAGCACUUUAAGUUGGGAGGAAGGGCAGUAAGUUAAUACCUUGCUGUUUUGACGUUACCAACAGAAUAAGCACCGGCUAACUUCGUG